AGAGUUUGAUCCUGGCUCAGGAUGAACGCUAGCGACAGGCCUAACACAUGCAAGUCGAGGGGCAGCGAGAUUGUAGCAAUACAAUUGUCGGCGACCGGCGCACGGGUGAGUAACACGUAUGCGACCUACCCAUAACAGGGGGAUAAUCGGAAGAAAUUCCGUCUAAUACCCCAUACCCACAAUCACUGCAUGGUGGUUGUGCGAAAGGAGCAAUCCGGUUAUGGAUGGGCAUGCGGCGCAUUAGUUAGUUGGCAGGGUAACGGCCUCCCAAGACAUCGAUGCGUAGGGGUUCUGAGAGGAAGGUCCCCCACACUGGUACUGAGACACGGACCAGACUCCUACGGGAGGCAGCAGUGAGGAAUAUUGGUCAAUGGGCGAGAGCCUGAACCAGCCAAGUCGCGUGAGGGAAGACUGUCCUAUGGAUUGUAAACCUCUUUUGUCAGGGAGCAAAAAGAGCUACGCGUAGCUUAUUGAGCGUACCUGAAGAAAAAGCAUCGGCUAACUCCGUGCCAGCAGCCGCGGUAAUACGGAGGAUGCGAGCGUUAUCCGGAUUUAUUGGGUUUAAAGGGUGCGUAGGCUGUUUGUCAAGUCAGCGGUUAAAUUUCGUGGCUCAACCACGACCCGCCGUUGAAACUGAUAGACUAGAGACUGAUAGGAGCAUGCGGAAUGCGCAGUGUAGCGGUGAAAUGCAUAGAUAUUGCGCAGAACUCCGAUCGCGAAGGCAGCAUACUAUAUCAGUACUGACGCUGAGGCACGAAAGCGUGGGUAUCGAACAGGAUUAGAUACCCUGGUAGUCCACGCAGUAAACGAUGAAUACUAAUUGUUCGGCAUGAAUGAAUGCUGAGUGAUACAGCGAAAGCGUUAAGUAUUCCACCUGGGGAGUACGCCGGCAACGGUGAAACUCAAAGGAAUUGACGGGGGCCCGCACAAGCGGAGGAACAUGUGGUUUAAUUCGAUGAUACGCGAGGAACCUUACCCGGGCUCAAACGAAAUAUGACUGUAGCAGAGACGCUACUUCUAGCAAUAGCAUAUUUCGAGGUGCUGCAUGGUUGUCGUCAGCUCGUGCCGUGAGGUGUCGGCUUAAGUGCCAUAACGAGCGCAACCCCCAUUUUCAGUUGCUAACGGGUAGAGCCGAGGACUCUGGAGAGACUGCCGGCGCAAGCUGUGAGGAAGGCGGGGAUGACGUCAAAUCAGCACGGCCCUUACGUCCGGGGCUACACACGUGUUACAAUGGCGAGGUACAAAGAGAAGCAAAGUGGCGACACUAAGCGGACCUUCAAAACUCGUCUCAGUUCGGAUUGGAGUCUGCAACUCGACUCCAUGAAGCUGGAUUCGCUAGUAAUCGCGCAUCAGCCAUGGCGCGGUGAAUACGUUCCCGGGCCUUGUACACACCGCCCGUCAAGCCAUGGGAGCUUGGAGUACCUGAAGUCCGUGCCCGUAACAGGAGCGGCCAAGGGUAAGACAAGUGACUGGGGCUAAGUCGUAACAAGGUAGCCGUACCGGAAGGUGCGGCUG
rnacentral:rRNA from 1 species